rnacentral:lncRNA from 1 species
AUAUUAAAAAAAAAAGUAAGAUUUAGUUCAACAUAUACAGUACUUGUUAUAUUUAGGCUUAUGGACUAAUCCCAGAAAGGAUGCAUGAAAAUGCCUCAAGACGAUCAUUUGUUCUAGGUUUGAAUUUUUGGUCGUAUAGGAACGAGUGACGACGGUUGCAAUACUUUACGAAAAGAGCCAAGGCAACAUCAAACUUUCGGGUAUAUUAACAAACAAUAAGCUUAAACUAGAGGCUAAGUACAUCUGCACCACAAAGCAAUUAAACCCCUAGAAUCGCAAAAGGUGUCGUCUUCUUGCGAGACACGAUUCCCUCAA